CACUAACUUUCAGGUGACGGCGGCACCCGAAGAUCAAGACGACCUAAGAGGCGCCGUUUCCCACGCAAAGCGGCGGCUUCUCUGUCUCAGGGUUACAUCGUUCAGGUGUCCCGGAGCAGUGAAAGAGUAGCCAGGACAGGUGUAUCAGUCUUCAACCCCCUCUGGCUGUAUUUUAUCUGUGCUGGUUGACAAUAACGUAUGACCAAGAAAGAAAUCCAUUCCAAACCAUGGCACUAAAUGUGGCAGCCCUGAAGCUCCAAAGAAAAGAUGGCCUCCAGGGCUCGCAACAUCGAUCCUAUAGUAUUAGCUCCCAUUUUUCAGUAAUUCAACCUUUUAAGAGUUUUAAGGUUAAGCAUCUUAUAUGAGCACAGCCUCUAUAUUUCUAAGAUUAGUUAUUGAUUAAAAGACAAAGUGGAUUUUGUGCUAAGCUGAAAUUUUUAAGUAUAGUUUGUUGAAUGAACCAUAGUGGUCAUACAUACUAAUAAAACAUAAUGGCUGGGCUCACACAUCUUGUUAAGUCAAAAAACAAACCAUUUUGUUUUGAGUUUUGCCCCAUUUUAUUUGGAUUGGAAAAGAGAACUGGAAAGAACUGAUGUAGUUCCCAUAUUCAAAAAAGGAAAAAAAAAUAGAUCCAGGAAACUACAGACCUAUCAGCCUGACCACAAUAACGGAAGAUUCUGGAAAAGAUAAUUCAAGCAACGAAUCAGCAAACACCUAGAAGCAAACAAAGUAAUAAUCAAAAGCCAACAUGGGUUUAUCAAAAGCCAACAUGGGUUUGUCAAAAACAGAUCAUGCCGGAUUAAUUUUAUUGCAUUUUUUGACAAAGUGAUAAAACUAGUGGACCAGAGGAAUGCUGCCGAUAUAAUUUACUUGGACUUCAGUAAGGUAUUUGACAAAGUAGACCAUGGCCUACUACUUGAUAAAAUAGAAAAAUGUGGGUUAGAGAGCAUCACCACCAGAUGGAUUUGUAACUGACUAGCCAACCACAUUCAACAUAUAUUCCUCAAUACUCACGGUCACUCACGCUCUUGUCACUUCUUGUCUGGAUUAUUGCAAUGCUCUCUACAUGGGGCUACCCCUAAAGUGCACUCGGAGGCUUCAGUUAGUUCAGAAUGCAGCUGCGCGGGUGAUUGAGGGAGCCACAUGUUGCUCCCGUGUAACACCGCUCCUGCACAGUCUGCACUGGCUAUCUGUGGUAUUUCAGGUGCGCUUCAAGGUGUUGGUUACCACCUUUAAAGCGCUCCAUGGCUUAGGGCCCGGGUACUUACAGGACCGCCUGCUGUUACCUUAUGCCUCCCACCGACCCGUACGCUCACACAGAGAGGGUCUUCUCAGGGUGCCGUCCGCCAAGCAAUGUCAGCUGGCGGCCCCCAGGGGAAGGGCCUUCUCUGUUGGAGCACCUACCCUCUGGAAUGAACUUCCCCCUGGUUUGCGUCAAUUACCUGACCUUCGGACCUUUCGCCGUGAAUUGAAAACGCACUUGUUUAUCCAAGCGGGACUGGCUUAAUUUUUAAACUUUUUGAAUUUUAAUAAUUGUAAUUGGGGUAUUUUUAUGAAUUUUAUGGGUCAAAUUUGACGGUUUUAAAUUUUCGGCCAUUUAUAGAAUAUGUUAUUUUAACUUUUGUCUUAAUUUGUAUAUUGUACUGUUUUUAUUCUGGCUGUACACCGCCCUGAGUCCUUCAGGAG